rnacentral:rRNA from 1 species
CCUACGGGAGGCAGCAGUGAGGAAUAUUGGUCAAUGGACGAGAGUCUGAACCAGCCAAGUAGCGUGAAGGAUGACUGCCCUAUGGGUUGUAAACUUCUUUUAUAAAGGAAUAAAACGAGGCACGUGUGCCUUUUUGCAUGUACUUUAUGAAUAAAGAUCGGCUAACUCCGUGCCAGCAGCCGCGGUAAUACGGAGGAUCCGAGCGUUAUCCGGAUUUAUUGGGUUUAAAGGGAGCGUAGAUGGGUUGUUAAGUCAGUUGUGAAAGUUUGCGGCUCAACCGUAAAAUUGCAAUUGAUACUGGCAGUCUUGAGUACAGUUGAGGUAGGCGGAAUUCGUGGUGUAGCGGUGAAAGGCUUAGAUAUCACGAAGAACCCCGAUUGCGAAGGCAGCUUACUAAACUGUGACUGACAUUGAUGCUCGAAAGUGUGGGUAUCAAACAGGAUUAGAUACCCCAGUAGUC